GACGAACGCUGGCGGCGUGCUUAACACAUGCAAGUCGAACGGUGACGCGCCUUCCUUUUUGGCGGGUGUGGAGGAGUGGCGAACGGGUGAGUAACACGUGAGUAACCUGCUCCCUUCUUCUGGAUAACCGCAUGAAAGUGUGGCUAAUACGGGAUAUUCUGGGUCUGUCGCAUCAUGGGUCUGGGAGAGAUAGUGUUUCGGUGGGGGAUGGGCUCGCGGCCUAUCAGCUUGGUGGUGGGGUGAUGGCCUACCAAGGCGGUGAGGGGUAGCCGGGCUGAGAGGGUGGGCGGUCACAGUGGGGCGGAGACGCGGCGCAGCCUACGAGGGGAGGCAGCAGGGGGGAAUAUUGCACGAGGGGAGGAAGGCUGAUGCAGCGACGCCGCGUGAGAGAUGGAGGCCGUCGGGUUGUGAACCUCUUUCGCGAGUGAAGCAGGCCUGCCUAGUUUGUGGGUGGGUUGACGGUAGCUGGAUAAGAAGCGCCGGCUAACUACGUG
rnacentral:rRNA from 1 species